GCGCGACUUCCCUGGCCCUCCCCCUGCGGACCAGUGAACCUCGCCCGAGGGCUCAAUAAAGAAGAUUUUUGCCCUCUUUUUCUCACCUCUCAGCCUUAUUGAUCCAUGGUGCCCUUCCAUUGCCUUUCAUUGGUGCCGAAACCCGGGAGGGGACACCUCCUAAGCCCCCCCAGAGGCUCAGGGGGACUCCCCUCCUGGUCGGAUCAGUCCUCUCCCUCAGUCAGGUCAGGCUUCUCCUCCACGGCCAUCUGUCCAUUUCGUCCGGUUACUUGCUGCCAGGUCGCAGUUGCUGCAGCUACUCCAGUCCAAUUCGGCCGACGCUAGAUCAACUGAGAUGCAAAACCCAUGUUCACAUCAUGAGUGAGUCUUCUAACUCGGACAAUGCAAUCAACAAAUUCUAAGACCAAAUUCCGGUGGCACUGGCUCCAAAGGACUCAUGGUCUAUCAAAGAGCAAGACCUCACCAGCUCAACACAGCCACCUCCAUACACAUCUUACUGUCACUUGUGAUCAGCACCAAAGGAAGUGUCCACCUGAAGGACUCUCCCUUGAGGACUGUCAGGAUCCACCCAAGAGGUGCUCUUUGUCCACACCACGUUCCUUUUACUGGUUCGUUAUCCCAUUUUCUGUUGAUGUUAAAUGUCACUCUGUUUGAUGUGAAAACUCUCAUCUAUAACAUUUAUAGAUUGAUUAAGUAUACUAUCAUGCAUGGUUUGCAAUGUUGACUGGCCUGUGCAGUGGCUUGAGCCUGCAUGCCACAGUGGCUCUGACUCCUGAGUGCAUGGGAGGCCUAAAGACAACUGCCUCCUCAGGAACCCCACAGAGCCCGUGGUUUUUAUUAUUGAAAUAGCAUUGGUAAAGUCUGACCCUGUGGAGAGAGACAAACGUGUGUGGAUUUGGCUAUGCCUGGCCUUGUGCUGCUCACGACAUAACUUACCCACCAUUUUCAGCACUUUCUUUGUUCUACUUUGAGUUACAAAUAGAGACACAUAAAUAAA
rnacentral:lncRNA from 1 species